GGAAAGGAGGAAGAGAAGGAGGAAAAGGAGGAGGAAGAGGAAGAGGAGGAUGAGGAGGAAGAGAAGUCGUAGUAGUUAAGAGAAUCCCUAACCCUGACCUUUAAGCACAUGCUGGGAUUGGGGCAAAAGUAGCCACCCACCGUGUCUAAGUUAGUUGCUAAUUAGACCAGUUCCAAACCCGGGUCUGGAAAGAGGCCUUGAGAGACUCCAAGUACAUGACUCCCAAACUAUCCUUGAGACCUAUUAACCAGGGACCCAGCUUAUCUCACUGUGGAGGCCCCAUGGGGUUCAUGUAACAGCAGGAGACAUAUUUGCACCUCAUAGAAGGACGCCCUCUCUGAGAACGGAAGAUACCUCAGAAAGGCACAGGUGUCCCUUUCCAAAGACCACGUGGAGAUCUACUGAGCUCAAACAAACACAAGGAAUCCUCCUUUCCGGCUUUUCUUCAGUCCUCUUGGUCCUGAGUCUUCCACCAUCUGCUCCCAAGAUGGUAGGUCCUGCCUACCUUCCUUCCUCUGGGGAUAGAGUGGGUCUGGGGCUCCCCCCUC